rnacentral:rRNA from 1 species
UCCGGUGGCAAUGGCGGAGGGGCCACACCCGUUCCCAUUUCGAACACGGUCGUUAAGCCCUCCUGCGCCGAUGGUACUGCACCUGUGAGGGUGUGGGAGAGUAGGUCGCCGCCGGAG